rnacentral:rRNA from 1 species
AUUGAACGCUGGCGGCAGGCCUAACACAUGCAAGUCGAGCGAAUGAAGGGAGCUUGCUCCUGGAUUCAGCGGCGGACGGGUGAGUAAUGCCUAGGAAUCUGCCUGGUAGUGGGGGAUAACGUCCGGAAACGGGCGCUAAUACCGCAUACGUCCUGAGGGAGAAAGUGGGGGAUCUUCGGACCUCACGCUAUCAGAUGAGCCUAGGUCGGAUUAGCUAGUUGGUGGGGUAAAGGCCUACCAAGGCGACGAUCCGUAACUGGUCUGAGAGGAUGAUCAGUCACACUGGAACUGAGACACGGUCCAGACUCCUACGGGAGGCAGCAGUGGGGAAUAUUGGACAAUGGGCGAAAGCCUGAUCCAGCCAUGCCGCGUGUGUGAAGAAGGUCUUCGGAUUGUAAAGCACUUUAAGUUGGGAGGAAGGGCAGUAAGUUAAUACCUUGCUGUUUUGACGUUACCAACAGAAUAAGCACCGGCUAACUUCGUG